UUAAGCGACUAAGCGUACACGGUGGAUGCCCUGGCAGUCAGAGGCGAUGAAGGACGUGCUAAUCUGCGAUAAGCGUCGGUAAGGUGAUAUGAACCGUUAUAACCGGCGAUUUCCGAAUGGGGAAACCCAGUGUGAUUCGUCACACUAUCAUUAACUGAAUCCAUAGGUUAAUGAGGCGAACCGGGGGAACUGAAACAUCUAAGUACCCCGAGGAAAAGAAAUCAACCGAGAUUCCCCCAGUAGCGGCGAGCGAACGGGGAGCAGCCCAGAGCCUGAAUCAGUGUGUGUGUUAGUGGAAGCGUCUGGAAAGGCGCGCGAUACAGGGUGACAGCCCCGUACACAAAAAUGCACAUGCUGUGAGCUCGAUGAGUAGGGCGGGACACGUGGUAUCCUGUCUGAAUAUGGGGGGACCAUCCUCCAAGGCUAAAUACUCCUGACUGACCGAUAGUGAACCAGUACCGUGAGGGAAAGGCGAAAAGAACCCCGGCGAGGGGAGUGAAAAAGAACCUGAAACCGUGUACGUACAAGCAGUGGGAGCACGCUUAGGCGUGUGACUGCGUACCUUUUGUAUAAUGGGUCAGCGACUUAUAUUCUGUAGCAAGGUUAACCGAAUAGGGGAGCCGAAGGGAAACCGAGUCUUAACUGGGCGUUAAGUUGCAGGGUAUAGACCCGAAACCCGGUGAUCUAGCCAUGGGCAGGUUGAAGGUUGGGUAACACUAACUGGAGGACCGAACCGACUAAUGUUGAAAAAUUAGCGGAUGACUUGUGGCUGGGGGUGAAAGGCCAAUCAAACCGGGAGAUAGCUGGUUCUCCCCGAAAGCUAUUUAGGUAGCGCCUCGUGAAUUCAUCUCCGGGGGUAGAGCACUGUUUCGGCAAGGGGGUCAUCCCGACUUACCAACCCGAUGCAAACUGCGAAUACCGGAGAAUGUUAUCACGGGAGACACACGGCGGGUGCUAACGUCCGUCGUGAAGAGGGAAACAACCCAGACCGCCAGCUAAGGUCCCAAAGUCAUGGUUAAGUGGGAAACGAUGUGGGAAGGCCCAGACAGCCAGGAUGUUGGCUUAGAAGCAGCCAUCAUUUAAAGAAAGCGUAAUAGCUCACUGGUCGAGUCGGCCUGCGCGGAAGAUGUAACGGGGCUAAACCAUGCACCGAAGCUGCGGCAGCGACGCUUAUGCGUUGUUGGGUAGGGGAGCGUUCUGUAAGCCUGUGAAGGUGUACUGUGAGGUAUGCUGGAGGUAUCAGAAGUGCGAAUGCUGACAUAAGUAACGAUAAAGCGGGUGAAAAGCCCGCUCGCCGGAAGACCAAGGGUUCCUGUCCAACGUUAAUCGGGGCAGGGUGAGUCGACCCCUAAGGCGAGGCCGAAAGGCGUAGUCGAUGGGAAACAGGUUAAUAUUCCUGUACUUGGUGUUACUGCGAAGGGGGGACGGAGAAGGCUAUGUUGGCCGGGCGACGGUUGUCCCGGUUUAAGCGUGUAGGCUGGUUUUCCAGGCAAAUCCGGAAAAUCAAGGCUGAGGCGUGAUGACGAGGCACUACGGUGCUGAAGCAACAAAUGCCCUGCUUCCAGGAAAAGCCUCUAAGCAUCAGGUAACAUCAAAUCGUACCCCAAACCGACACAGGUGGUCAGGUAGAGAAUACCAAGGCGCUUGAGAGAACUCGGGUGAAGGAACUAGGCAAAAUGGUGCCGUAACUUCGGGAGAAGGCACGCUGAUAUGUAGGUGAAGUCCCUCGCGGAUGGAGCUGAAAUCAGUCGAAGAUACCAGCUGGCUGCAACUGUUUAUUAAAAACACAGCACUGUGCAAACACGAAAGUGGACGUAUACGGUGUGACGCCUGCCCGGUGCCGGAAGGUUAAUUGAUGGGGUUAGCGCAAGCGAAGCUCUUGAUCGAAGCCCCGGUAAACGGCGGCCGUAACUAUAACGGUCCUAAGGUAGCGAAAUUCCUUGUCGGGUAAGUUCCGACCUGCACGAAUGGCGUAAUGAUGGCCAGGCUGUCUCCACCCGAGACUCAGUGAAAUUGAACUCGCUGUGAAGAUGCAGUGUACCCGCGGCAAGACGGAAAGACCCCGUGAACCUUUACUAUAGCUUGACACUGAACAUUGAGCCUUGAUGUGUAGGAUAGGUGGGAGGCUUUGAAGUGUGGACGCCAGUCUGCAUGGAGCCGACCUUGAAAUACCACCCUUUAAUGUUUGAUGUUCUAACGUUGACCCGUAAUCCGGGUUGCGGACAGUGUCUGGUGGGUAGUUUGACUGGGGCGGUCUCCUCCUAAAGAGUAACGGAGGAGCACGAAGGUUGGCUAAUCCUGGUCGGACAUCAGGAGGUUAGUGCAAUGGCAUAAGCCAGCUUGACUGCGAGCGUGACGGCGCGAGCAGGUGCGAAAGCAGGUCAUAGUGAUCCGGUGGUUCUGAAUGGAAGGGCCAUCGCUCAACGGAUAAAAGGUACUCCGGGGAUAACAGGCUGAUACCGCCCAAGAGUUCAUAUCGACGGCGGUGUUUGGCACCUCGAUGUCGGCUCAUCACAUCCUGGGGCUGAAGUAGGUCCCAAGGGUAUGGCUGUUCGCCAUUUAAAGUGGUACGCGAGCUGGGUUUAGAACGUCGUGAGACAGUUCGGUCCCUAUCUGCCGUGGGCGCUGGAGAACUGAGGGGGGCUGCUCCUAGUACGAGAGGACCGGAGUGGACGCAUCACUGGUGUUCGGGUUGUCAUGCCAAUGGCACUGCCCGGUAGCUAAAUGCGGAAGAGAUAAGUGCUGAAAGCAUCUAAGCACGAAACUUGCCCCGAGAUGAGUUCUCCCUGACUCCUUGAGAGUCCUGAAGGAACGUUGAAGACGACGACGUUGAUAGGCCGGGUGUGUAAGCGCAGCGAUGCGUUGAGCUAACCGGUACUAAUGAACCGUGAGGCUUAACCU
rnacentral:rRNA from 1 species